rnacentral:piRNA from 1 species
UCUUGAGUUGUUGUUACUGGGGAAACAGA